CACGUAGGGGGCAAGCGUUGUCCGGAUUUAUUGGGCGUAAAGAGCUCGUAGGCGGCUUAGUAAGUCGGGUGUGAAACCUCCAGGCUCAACCUGGAGACGCCACCCGAUACUGCUGUGGCUAGAGUCCGGUAGGGGAGCGUGGAAUUCCUGGUGUAGCGGUGAAAUGCGCAGAUAUCAGGAGGAACACCAGCGGCGAAGGCGGCGCUCUGGGCCGGUACUGACGCUCAGGAGCGAAAGCGUGGGGAGCGAUCCGG
rnacentral:rRNA from 1 species